rnacentral:rRNA from 1 species
AUUCAAUUUAAAAUGACUUAAUGUUUUAAAUGUUGCGUGAAUUUGCGGAGCAAAUUCACGUUGUCAUGUUUGAGCCAUUGAAAAUUUAGACAUUUAUGUCAUUCAAUUAAAAUUUACAAAUUAAAAUUGGAAAUUCACAUCACGCUUCGCGUGAUGUGUCGGAGUAUACCUAGGGAAGUGAAACAUCUCAGUACCUAGUGGAAAAAAGAACAAUAGUUAUUCCGUAAGUAGCGGCGAGCGAAAACGGAGAAGCCCAAACUUUGCUGUUUACAGCAGGGGGUUGUAAGAUGAUAACGUUGCAUUUAUGCAAGAGAAGUUACAAAGUAUUGUGUUAGUGGAAUGCUCUGGGAAGAGCAGCCCUAGAGGGUAAUAGCCCUGUACACGAAAGCACAUUACCUUCUUUGUUAUUAUUCUUGAGUAGCUCCGGACACGAAUAGCCGGAGUGAAUCUACCGGAACUAACCGGUAAGGCUAAAUACUCUUAGAGAUCGAUAGUGAACAAGUACCGUGAGGGAAAGGUGAAAAGAACCCCGAGAGGGGAGUGAAAUAGAACUGAAACCAUAUGCUUACAAGGAGUCAGAGCGGGCAUCGUAUUGCAUACGAUGCCGUAGUUGGCAGUUAAUAGUUGGGAGUUGGUAGUAGCCCGCGCGCCGUUAGGCGCGCGGGUGCUACAAACUAAAAACUACAAACUAAAAACUACGGACAUCGUGCGUAGCACGAUGUCCGUCAUGGCGUGCCUAUUGAAGAAUGAGCCAACGAGUUUAUGUUAUUCCUAGUCUAAAGGGAGAACCCCUGGAGGCACAGCGAAAGCGAGUGUUAAUAGCGCGAAAUAUAUAGGUGUAGCAUAAGACCCGAAACUAAGUGAGCUUACCAUGAGCAGGGUGAACCUCGUCGAAAGGCGAGGGGAGGCCCGAACCGUCGCAUCGUACAACGUGCUCGGAUGACUUGUGGUAAGGAGUGAAAAGCUAAUCGAACUUAGUAAUAGCUGGUUCUCUCCGAAACAGCUUUAGGGUUGGCGUCGCAUGUUCCUUUUGGGGGUAGAGCACUGGAAAGUGUGAAUAGGGAGAAAUCUCGUCACUCUUAUCAAACUCCGAAUACCAAAAGUUAAAAGUGCGGCAGUUAGUCUGUGGGGGCGAAGCUCCAUUGGACAAAAGGGAAACAGCCCAGAUCGCCAGUUAAGGUCCCUAAAUCUACACUAAGUGCAAACGAGGAUGUGAAGUUUCAAAGACAGUGAGGAGGUUGGCUUAGAAGCAGCCACCCUUUAAAGAUAGCGUAACAGCUCACUCACUCAGAGACUCUGCGCCGAAGAUGAUCGGGGCUAAGUGUAGUACCGAAACUGCGGAUUGUAUUUAUAUUUAUAUUAGUACAGUGGUAGGAGAGCGUUCCAUUGGCUAUGAAGCAGAAGGGGUAACCCACUGUGGAGCAUAUGGAAGUGAUAAUGUUGGCACGAGUAACCGCAUUGUGGGUGAGAUUCCCACACGCCGAAAUACCAAGGUUUCCGUGGCUAUGAAGAUCAGCCGCGGGUUAGUCGGGCCUAAGCCGAUCCCGAACGGGGGAGGCGAUGGACAUACGGUUAAUAUUCCGUAACUCGCGCUUAUUGCGAUGGGGUGACGGGGGAGACAAGUACGAGCGUCUUAUUAGAUUGAUGUUGUUUAUUAUAAGCAUGGUACCUUAGGUAAAUCCGGGGUGCAUAUACAUGCGUUGAUAGACUAAAUUUUACACUUUGGUGUAGAAAAUUUGUAUGAAGAGCCCUCCAAGAAAAGCCUCUAAGCUUAAAUAAGUGUGAACCGUACCGCAAACCAACACAGGUGGUAGAGUCGAGAAGACUAAGGCGAACGGGUGAAAGUUCCUCAAGGAACUCGGCAAAACAGCGACCGUAACUUCGGGAUAAGGUCUGCCUAGUUGUAUCACAUUGUGUGUGAUAUGCGUUUUGUUGACAUGUAUACUUUCGUAUUUUAUGUAUAUAUGUAUAAAAAAUCGAGACGAAAAACAAAACUAGAACAUCGCGCAUAGCGUGAUAUGACUAGGCCGCAGCGAAAGAGCUCUGGCGACUGUUUACCAAAAACACAGCUCCCUGCGAACUCGUAAGAGGAUGUAUAGGGGGUGACGCCUGACCAAUGCCGGAAGGUUAAGCACGGACGGUGUAUAGAGUUUACUUUAUAUGCUUGGCUGUGUAAGCCUCGGUGAAUGUCGGCCGUAACUAUAACGGUCCUAAGGUAGCGUAAUUCCUUGUCUGGUAAUUUCAGACGUGCACGAAUGGCGUAACGACUGGAGCACUGUCUCGAGGAACUGCCCGGUGAAAAUACAAUUCCGGUAAAGAUGCCGGAUACCUGCAGCAGGACGGAAAGACCCCAGGAGCUUUACUACAGCUUGAUAUUGGCGUUGCGUGUGAAAUGCGUAGCAUAGAUGGGAGAUUUUGAAGCAGCCCUUUUGGGGGCUGUGGAGUCGUCAGUGAAAUACCAUCCUUUUUAUAUGCCUCGUCUAACCUGAAUGGGAAAAACAUUUUGGAACAGUAUCUGGUGGGUAGUUUUAGUGGGGCGCUAUCCUCCUAAAAAGUAACGGAGGAGUUCAAAGAUACCCUAGGCGCGGAUGGAAACCGUGCCGAUAGUGUAAUGGCAUAAGGGUGUUUGACUGUGAGGCGUACAUGCCAAACAGACGCGAAAGCGGGACAUAGUGAACCGACAGUCUGCUUUAGAUGCAGCUGGAGAUUAACGGAUAAAAGUUACCCUGGGGAUAACAGGCUGGUACCGCCUAAGAGUUCAUAUCGACGGCGGUGUUCGGCACCUCGAUGUCGGCUCACCUUAUCCUGGGGGUGGAGAAGCUCCCAAGGGUUUGGCUGUUCGCCAAUUAAAAAGGUACGCGAGCUGGGUUCAGACCGUUCAGUUGUUGUCUUUGACGAUAUUUGAACAGUCUGAGUCCCGAGGUAAAAGACAUAAAUUCACGGCGGCACAUACUAGUAAUAGUGUGAUGCUCAAGUUUGCUAUAUCGGUAAAAUCUUAACCAAUCAUAUCUUAGGAUAAUACCGAGGGAAGUCGUAUAUGUUAACGAAAUCAAAAAAUCUUAUUUAGCAGGAUUUCUUUAUUAUAAUUAUAUUGACCCCGUAGAGACUAAACGCAGACUCCCGUAAAGCGCAAAGCGCCACGGGAAAGAUAUAGUCCAAAUG